rnacentral:rRNA from 1 species
GAUGAACGCUGGCGGCGUGCCUAAUACAUGCAAGUCGAGCGAACAGACGAGGAGCUUGCUCCUCUGACGUUAGCGGCGGACGGGUGAGUAACACGUGGAUAACCUACCUAUAAGACUGGGAUAACUUCGGGAAACCGGAGCUAAUACCGAAUAACAUGUUGAACCGCAUGGUUCAACAGUGAAAGACGGUCUUGCUGUCACUUAUAGAUGGAUCCGCGCCGCAUUAGCUAGUUGGUAAGGUAACGACUUACCAAGGCAACGAUGCGUAGCCGACCUGAGAGGGUGAUCGGCCACACUGGAACUGAGACACGGUCCAGACUCCUACGGGAGGCAGCAGUAGGGAAUCUUCCGCAAUGGGCGAAAGCCUGACGGAGCAACGCCGCGUGAGUGAAGAAGGUCUUCGGAUCGUAAAACUCUGUUAUUAGGGAAGAACAAAUGUGUAAGUAACUAUGCACGUCUUGACGGUACCUAAUCAGAAAGCCACGGCUAACUACGUG